GUGAGCCAAGAUCGUGCCAUUGCACUCCAGCCUGGGUGACAAGAGUGAAACUCCGUCUCAAAAAAAAAAAAAAAAAAAAAAACAAAUUCUGUUUCCUGUAAUGAAAAGAAGUGGAGAUGUGGCUGGCAGAGGAAGCAGAUUAUGAAGUUGCCAAAGAGUAUCAUGAAUACCUGAAGAAGAUGAUUGAGGAAAAUGGCAAUUUGCCUGAGCAGGUUGUCAGUGCUGUUGAAACUCUGGAAGCAAAGGCUUACCUGCACAUCUAUUGCAAAACAUGAGAAAAGGACUGAGGCUUCAGCCUGGAAAAGACAAGCUCAAAGUUCUGCUUUGUUCCAGUGCUUUCUGAUUAAACCCAUGUUGCUUUGCAGAUGCCAAAAUUAUUACCUUCUUUAAAGAGAAAGCCAGAAACACUUUUUUUGUCUACAUGAAGAGAAACCAUAAAAUAUGGAUCACUGAGAAACUCUUUUUGAGCUGGUCUUCGAAGUGUUUUUUUCUUAGGUUAAAUAAUAUUUAAAUGAAUAAAACAUUUUGACUUCACAGUGUUGCUGAUUCUGGACACUGCUCCUAGAGACAAAAAUGCAGUUGUAAAUGCUGCUCCUUAUGUUGAAGUCAACUCCAUUACCCCAGUACGAUUGUACUCCUUCAACUCAUGCAUCUGAGAGUGCUAAAAUAGUUGGUGAUGUACUAUACUCAGCAUGUAUUUUGACUACCUGCAGAUCUUAUCAGAGACACCAGAACUUUACCAUGAAAGUAGCUUGGCAAAAUUUCUCCAUUUGUAAUGCUUUCACAAGCGUAGAAGAAUCAGUGAGACAAAUAAAACAAUUAACAUUUCAUGAAGUCUGGCAGAAAUUUUGGAAUGAUAUUGUGACUGACUCAGAAGGCUUCCUUCCUGUGGUAGAAGAAAUGGAAAAUACUGUAAUAUCUGCAAAGCAUUUGAGUAGUGAAGGCCUUGAAGACAUUGAGCUAAGUGACAUUACUGAAUUGUUAGACUCUGACCUUCAAAACAUAGUUGAGAACUAUUUUGGAGGUGUGAUCACAUCAAAAGGCAAUAAAAGAAGCCAGCAUAGGUUAACAUCCAGAACUCUAAGAAUGUUCAAGUAUCUAUUCCACAAAUGAAAUUGAAACAAUGAUUCAAAAGAAAGAGAUUCUUUGGUGGACUACAUAUUGACUCUCAGGAGAGAAGAGGUUGGACAAUUAGGCCAUGUCAUUAAAACCCGUUCUGCAAACAGGAAGUAGAAAUGUCACACACAAGUUGAACCUUGGGAUUCAGACUCUGAUGGCUCUGUUGAUGUGAUGAUUUGUGUGCUGGGGAUGAAGGAAGAGAAGGAGACUGAGCUUACAUCUCUUCAGAUGAAAUGCAGUUUUCUCUAUUCUUUCCCUGUUACUAGUGUUAUGACCAAGCAUUUUCACUGAUACAUUAUCAUCUUCAUCUUGAAGUCACAAAGGAAAUUAAUUGCCUGAUAUCCACUAUUGCUAAUAUAAAAUAUCAUUGAUAUUUAUUUUGUUUUAUUUUGGUGAACACGCUAAUUGGGCUUUCAUAAUACUCACAUCCCUGCCCCAUUUUUUCCAAAAAGGUCUUAAAUUCCUCCUACACCGUUAUUAUGAGAGUUUCAGGAACUCAACUAUAGCAGUUAAGGAGAGAGCUACUACUCUACUUGGCGGGAUAAUUUGAUUUUGUACUCUUGACCUGAAAUUUGCUUUAAUUCUGAUUAAGCCUAACUUGUGAUCUCACCAGAAAGGACGAGUUUGGUAUAAGUUAAGAUCAUUUGUUUUGCAGCAAUUAUAUAUGUUAGCUGUUGGCUGAUCCUGAAAGGCAGUAUGUUUAUGUUAAAUUUCCAGAUUUCCUUUGAUACCUAAUCAAGGAGAAACAGCUGCUAGUGUUCAUUUUCGUAGCUCCCCUCUGUUUUCAUAUCUGGCCUCCCCAGUGAUUUGAAGAGUUAAAUAUUCUCCAGAAAAUGGAUGUUGUUACUUCCUGUUCUCUGAAGGUGAUGGAGACUUCAUUCUCAGAUUGUUUUUAAAUAUCCUCUGUAAUUCCAUGUAUUUACUUUAUUCAAUUCAAUUAUUUUACAGAAGUUAUUGUUAUGGUUGUUUUAAUUUUGGAUGUUUGGAAUUUUCCAGGCAAAUUUAACAGAGGGAGAAAAAUCACAAAGUCAGAAAUAUGAUGCUGAUAUCUUGUUCUAAGAAUUUUGGGCAAAGACAUAUGAUGAACCUGCCUGUUUUUUUGGCUGCUUGUACACAUUCCCAACUGAUGUCCAUUUUGAACUCAGUUGGACAGUUAUUCUGGGGAAUAGAAAGGAAGUCCACAUAACAUUGCUGUUGUUUCUGUCUUAAUUGCUAUUUGUGCCAGAUUCACAGCACUGGCAUCAAUCAUUAUAUCUGAUAAUGAUGCACAGAAAACCUGAAUAGAAGAAAGAUAAUUCAUUGGCAUGUGCUUGCCAAAAAGAGACUUCAUGUAACUUGAGACAGCAUAAAAACAACCUGGAAUGAUGAAAUUUAUGUACAGUAAUGAGAAAAAACUGUUGUAAACAGCAAUGUGAAAAACUGACACCAGAGAAUAAAUUGAAUUUGGUUUUGCAGGAA